rnacentral:misc_RNA from 1 species
GAUGAAGAACGCAGCGAAAUGCGAUAAGUAAUGUGAAUUGCAGAAUUCAGUGAAUCAUCGAGUCUUUGAACGCACAUUGCGCCCCCUGGUAUUCCGGGGGGCAUGCCUGUCCGAGCGUCAUUGCUGCCCUCAAGCACGGCUUGUGUGUUGGGCCCCCGUCCCCGGUUUCCCCCGGGGACGGGCCCGAAAGGCAGCGGCGGCACCGCGUCCGGUCCUCGAGCGUAUGGGGCUUUGUCACCCGCUCUGUGGCCCGGCCGGCGCCAGCCGACACCCAACUUUAUUUCUAAGGUUGACCUCGGAUCAGGUAGGGAUACCCGCUGAACUUAAGCAUAUCAAUAAGCGGAGGA